rnacentral:rRNA from 2 species
AGGUCCAGCCUGCCCAGUGACUAUAUGUUCAACGGCCGCGGUAUUCUGACCGUGCAAAGGUAGCGUAAUCACUUGUCUUUUAAAUAAAGACUGGUAUGAAUGGCAUCACGAAGGUUCAACUGUCUCCUGCAUCCUAUCCAUAAAACUGACCUCCCCGUGCAGAGGCGGGGAUACAGUCAUAAGACGAGAAGACCCUAUGGAGCUUCAAACUAAAGGCAACUGCCAACUAUUAUUUAACCAUCAGGGAUUAAUCAAUAAACAAGCAGAUAUUGACCUAAAGUUUUCGGUUGGGGCGACCACGGAGAAAAGAAAAUCCUCCUUGAUGAACAGGACAUUUAAUCCUUAACCAAGAAUAACAGUUCUAAGUAACAAAAUUUUAGACUAUAAUUGAUCCAGUCUAACUGAUCAACGAACCAAGUUACCCUAGGGAUAACAGCGCAAUCCAUUUCAAAAGUUCUUAUCGACAAAUGGGUUUACGACCUCGAUGUUGGAUCAGGGCAUCCCAGUGGUGCAGCCGCUACUAAAGGUUCGUUUGUUCAACGAUUAAAGCCCUACGUGAUCUGAGU